AGAGGUAUAGCUCAGUGGUAGAGUGCAUGCUUGGUGUGCAUGAAGUUCUGGGUUCAAUCCGCAUUGCCUGUG
rnacentral:tRNA from 1 species